UACGAAGGGGGCUAGCGUUGCUCGGAAUUACUGGGCGUAAAGCGCACGUAGGCGGCUUUCUAAGUCGGGGGUGAAAUCCUCCAGCUCAACUGGAGAAUGGCCUCGGAUACUGAUGGUCUCGAGGAGGAUAGGGGCACACGGAACUGUGGGUGGAGCGGUGAAAUGCGUUGAUAUCCAUAGGAACUCCGGCGGCGAAAGCGGUGUGCUGGAUCCUUUCUGACGCUGAUGCGCGAAAGCCAGGGGAGCAAACGGG
rnacentral:rRNA from 1 species